GCCCAGCACUUAUAAAGCUUUACUUAUUCUCAGAUAUACCGCCCAGUCAUUCCUCCCUCAAUUAUACCGUAAGCUUUAAUCUUCUUUCAAAAUUAAUUUAUUUUUCCUACAAUAUUACUGCUAAUUAACUUUAUUAAUACGGUUUCUUCAAAUCAUCUAAUUUUUUUCUAAUCUCCCUCCAGCGCCUUUCUUCACUUUCUCAUCUCGGCUCGCCGGUGGUUACCCAAAAAAGCAGCUCGUUUCAAGAUCAGUGACCUGUUACAUUUUUCAACCGAUGAAUUUGGAAGAAAUUGAAGGAAAUCGGAUUGGCGAUACAGAGUCGACCAAGAUCAUCAUAAGAAAUUCAUGGAAUCAUUGAAUCCUAUCUCUAUAGCCUGAAUCGAAAAAUUGUAGGUGGAAUUAAACCAAAGAGGUGGGUUAGGUUUUAUGGGGAAAUUGUGUAAGAAAUUUGAUUAGAAGAAAUUAAAUUGAUUAUAUUUAUGCCAAAACUCACAAUCUUCAUUAUCAGUUAGCUAAAGAACUUUAAAUUCCUUAUCUUAUUGCUAUUGGAACCUAAUUCUUCUAAUUUGUUAAAGAAAGAUUCAUACACUCAUGUG